UGAAUGUUUGCUGCCACACUUGCCCUCCAUCAGCACAUGUCAAACAUACCAUGAGGUACAGACGUGUGGUUGGUGAGACAGGUGGAGGACCUGUAGUUGUCCAGUUUGUCCACUGCAUAGAAAAAUAUUACCAUCAGCCUAGGAAGGGGGUCCCCUGUUGUGUGGUCCUUCUCAAGGUUUCUUCCCUUCUUUACCUGUGAAAGGUCAAGGGGGGGGGGAGUUUUUCCUUGAUGGUGGGUUUUGUGUGACUUCUCAAGGGAAUGAUGAAUAGG